rnacentral:rRNA from 1 species
GUCAGAGGCGAUGAAGGGCGUACUAAUCUGCGAUAAGCGCCGGUAAGGUGAUAUGAACCGUUAUAACCGGCGAUACCCGAAUGGGGAAACCCAGUGUGAUUCGUCACACUAUCAUUAACUGAAUCCAUAGGUUAAUGAGGCGAACCGGGGGAACUGAAACAUCUAAGUACCCCGAGGAAAAGAAAUCAACCGAGAUUCCCCCAGUAGCGGCGAGCGAACGGGGAGGAGCCCAGAGCCUGAAUCAGCAUGUGUGUUAGUGGAAGCGUCUGGAAAGGCGCGCGAUACAGGGUGACAGCCCCGUACACAAAAGCGCAUGUGCUGUGAGCUCGAUGAGUAGGGCGGGACACGUGGUAUCCUGUCUGAAUAUGGGGGGACCAUCCUCCAAGGCUAAAUACUCCUGACUGACCGAUAGUGAACCAGUACCGUGAGGGAAAGGCGAAAAGAACCCCGGCGAGGGGAGUGAAAAAGAACCUGAAACCGUGUACGUACAAGCAGUGGGAGCACCCUUUGGGUGUGACUGCG